rnacentral:lncRNA from 1 species
AUAAUGAAUUAUUGCUUUUAAAAAUAAUUGAUAGAAUUUUUUUCUCACUACAAUGAAAGAAAUUUUGCUAAAUUUAUAAAAGAAAGCCAGAAACCUGGCAAAACAAAAGAACUUUGUGGAAUACGUUCUGAGGUGGAAAUGUAGAUAAAAUGCCAUAAUAUCAGAAACAGUUGGGUUAAUUUUUGCUCGUGUACCUAUGGGUGGAUUUCAAGGAAAGAUACUGUCACCAAAAAAACCAGUUAAAAGAUUGUGUCCUAUGUUAGAAAAACAUGCCUUCAACUAGGCUGUAGUACAAUUUAUGUGAAUCUGCUAUAUACUCAAGCAAUCAGUAGGGAUAGACCUGGGUGUCGGGAGACACUAUUAGACAGAGAAUGGUUAGAAAAAAGAUUUGGCCACUUAAGUUUCAGNAGGAAAAUCUGUCAUUGUUAUGUGAAAUUAACAUAUGUAAUAGUUAAGUAAAAAGAGAUUUUCAACUAUUCCUGUGAAGAUUCUACAAUAAGUACACCUACAGUGUCAGAUAUAAAUGUCAAUUAAAAACUACAUAAAAUCCUGAAAGGUAAGGUGUGUAGGGUGGCCACGUUUUGGCACAAUGGAGUGUGUGUCACCAGGAAUAGGGCAGGCAGAGAAGAAUGGGGACUGUCAAUUCUCAAAGCUCAGGAACUAGAGGUCUGCUCUGAAUGAGGACUACUAGGGAAAUUGGAGCUACAGUCUUGCCAUAAGGUAGGAAUAAGCUGAACAUGAACCGUAGGUUGUGGGCACUGGCUUUCUAGGACACGACAACAUUUGAAAUAAUGGAGAAAAUAGAAGGAAAAGUGAUUCAAAUAAAAUCAAUGAUGUUCAAGGUGCUACUGCAAAGUUCAGUGAUUAUGCAUAACAGGUGAGUAGUUAGAACAAUUAAGUACUUCAAAAUGCAGUCCUAAUUUUAGUUAUGCCACUAAAAUACCUAACCUGUACAUAACCUGUCUUAAAUUCCUUCAGCACUUACCACUUUUGGAGGCAAUCUGAAUGAAAUACUUGAAUACUCUUUUUUUUUUCCAAUGUUAUGACAAAUAAAACUUUCCACACUUUGCAAAGUACAAUCUAAAUGCUUGGAAAAUAUAAUUGCAUUUAUUUUAUAUUGAGUGGUUCU